GUUACUGUGUGUGUGUUUUGUUUUUCUAAACUAAAAACCAGAAAAGAUGUAAAGAUAGGAAUAUAUUUAAAAAAUUUGGAUUUAUGUAGCUUUGUUGGUGGUGAUGACUGAGAAAAACCUAAAUGAAAAAGAACAUAUUCUUCUUUUUAGAAACAUGCAACUUUCUUGAUGUUUAUUCUGUCACUAAUUAUACUGUUUACUUUGUGUAUAGAGAUAAUGUGUUUAUAUUCACAUUGUUUUAAUUUAAACCUCUCACCCCCAUUCUUCGGCCGCAGUUUUUGAGGAUAUUAGAUGUGACAAGAAAAGUUUUCUUUGUGUCUGAAUGAUUAAUUUAACAGGUCCCUGCUUAGUCAGAUAAAAGCUUAAGUCAGACAAAAGAUGCACAAGAUCACAAUUAAGGCCUUGAUUACUGUUCUAUAAACAAUUUGCCACUUGUUCAGGUGUAAAGCAGUGAUGCAGUCAUUUUUAUUCAAGAAUAUUACAUAAUGCGGUUCCAUAUUUGCUUUAUUUUCCUUGAGUUUCCCCUCCAAUGGUGGUUUUAUUUGCAGUAAAAUACAGGAGAAUUGAGAUGCAAGCGCACAAGGAGUAGAAAACAACUAAUUCAAAUUCAGACAACUUUAUUUGUCCCCAGGGGGCAAUUAAAAAGACAUUGUUUUUGUGCCACAAAACACAUGAAUCACAAAUGCAAUGCAUGAAAAUCUUCAUAAUCCAAUGAGAAAGCUUUAUUUCACCUCUAAGAGCAGCUAAACUUUCCAACAACCACCAGGCUAGUUUUAGCCACAUGCUAACAAAGCACAUUUUCAGAAACAUUGCAUUGCAGUUCUUCUAGCUGGUGAAGAACAAACAGCUCAUGCUAUUAAACUGUGCAUAUUUGUUGCCAUGUUUAUAUGAUACACAAAACUGUGUUGGUUCUGUGUUCCGCUUGUGUAAUGGGCAAACAGCAGGAAUUGCUCACGAUAUUUGCCUGUGCUAUAUUAGCAUAUUAAUGCUAAUGUAGCUUGUGUGACAGGAGCGCCUGCAUAUUUCUGCAUAUUCUGCAUAUUUGCUUUCAGCCUCUGAAAAUUGUCAUCUCUCAGCUAGCUUGAGCUAAAGUUGUGUCAUCCAAGGUAGUGUUAUCAUUGCUAUUAGCUCUAAUUUUCCCAUUGGAAUACAAUAUUUUAAGCUAACAUCAAAGUGCAGCACAUGAAAAGGCUUUGGGAGUGUGGAAUUAAAUCACUUUUACACUAUAGGUUUACUUGUUUUGCUCAGCAGGCAACCAGCAGAAAUUAAAUGUAUGCUAAUGUAACUUGCCCAAGUUAUAUUAGCAUAUUUAUGCCAAUAGCUAUAGCUUGUGUGACGGGUUUGUUCAGUUUUACUUUCAACCUCUGCAAUUUCUUAUGUUUCAUAGCUAACUCAAGCCAACUUUCUGUCAUCUGGCUUAUCUUUGCGAUUGGUUUCUCACAGAACGUUGGUAUAUUAGCAGUGCAGCAUGUGGAAAAACUUCAGUAAUGUGGGAUUAAAUCACCUCUGCACUGUAGUUUUAUUGAUUUCGACGAAGUAGUCAAAGGUUGCUGAUAAGUUUGGACAUUUUGUGGUUUUCUAGCUUCUCGUUGCAGGCUCAUCCUCAAUUAUUUGUCUACGAGAAAGCCAUGAAUGGAAAUUAAAGGUAAUGGUGGUUCCAUUUAGCUUCGCAACCAGAAAAAAAAAGACAAUUCAUCAUUUUCUUUCACGGUCCAGGUUUUUACCCCCCUGUAGCAGUAGUUUUGUUGCUGUAAUUGGAAAGCACAGAUACAAUCAGUACAUUCAGGCCAAGAAAUAUUUAUUCAUAGAGUAAAUAUCAGGCAGAAAAGCUGCCAGGAAAGAUUUACAGGUUUUAUUUGGUGGUGCUUAAACAGAUAAUUUCUGUUCAAUAUGAGAACUAUUUGUUUAAUAAUAGUUUUGUAUAAUCUCAACAGUAACUUUAACCUGAUAUGUAACAAUGGUCUUGGCAUGGUGCGGACGAGUCUAGACAUCUGGGCAAGUAGAAGCACAGCUCAGCAGCGGACUGUUGCACAAUGAGAAGGCUAUAUAUCACAGAGUUUGUGAAAAUGUCAUAGAAAAACUGGGGCCAGACAUCAAGACAUGAGCAGAUGCAUUCAACAGACACAGCAAGGUCUGUUUCAGUCAUUUCCUUCCUGGGUAAGUUUACCUCAUGUGAGUGGUGUAGUACGUCGGUGUUCGUGCUGGAUGCUGAGAUAACACAGCGAGGGCAGCUGAAGGGCGGACAGGUCGGCAUCUACAGAGCAGCGGCAUUUCUCUAAUUGGCACUUGUUAUAGCGAGAAUGAGUCAGUGCGUUAUUGUUCGCGCUUGACGUAAUCUUUGACGGCAUCAACACCCCCCUCCACUAACAUGACAAUAUAAAAUUUGCUGUUAUUCACACAGUCGUUUAAAUGGUGAAAUUCCUCUCUAGACUAAUAACAUUAUUCAUAGCUUUGAUUUAAGUGUACAAUUUGAAACAAGUGUUUGGACAAUGAUGUAGUUUCUGUUGUGUUACAAAACGUGCUUUAUGAUGGUCAUAUAUUUCUCUGACAAUGUGCUGUGUUUUCAUAGUAGAAACCUGUUAAAUCAAUUGCCUCAGUUCAUGGACUGUUUCAAGACCUUCUGACUUUGCCUAAUAUUGUAAUGUUUCUUGAUAUGAUCUCGUAUCCCUUCCAACUGUUAUAAUAGCACUGAAUUUACAAUUUUUUAUUGAACAUUUUUGUAUUUGUAAUAAUAGAAAUGUUUGAGAAAAUGUUAGUUCAAACAUCUAUUAUGAUCUCCUUUUAGAUUCUAGAUCAUUAUCAAGAUUCAAAGUCUGAGUGACCCAGUGUGUAAUAAAGUAAACUGAACAACAUUCUUUUGUUUCAACAAGUCUGAAAAUCAACAUCGGAAAAUAACUUGGUUUUUCUCCCAUGGG
ensembl:lncRNA